UUCACCUGCACUGAUAAUGCCCUCAAAACCUGCCUAUUAUGACCGUGAUAGCGCCCUUGUCUCCAUCAAUACCCACUGUUCAUCUCAACUACUUAAAAGGGGACAAUCUGCUUUCCGUUCACUACUGCAGAAGUGGCAAUUAAACACAGGAUCUGUUACAACAAAGGCAAGGCUGCACUUCACAAUAAAGGAGGAGAAGAAGACAUUUUGCAGCUAUUACUGGCUGGUAACUUGUGAAACACAUAUGUGACAAGUAAGGCUUCUGUAUCUCCUUCCUGAUGAUAGCAAUGAGAAGAGGGCACGUCCUGGGUGGUGGAAGUCCUUGACGAUGGGUGCCACCUUUCUGAGGCACAGUUCCUUGAAGAUGUUCUGGAUACUACAGAGGCUAAUGCCCAGGUUGGAGCUAACUAAUUGUACAACUGUCUGUAGCUUACUCUAAUUCUGUGCACUAACCCCCACCACCCAUACCAGACAGAGAUGCAGCUGGUUAGAAUGCUCUCUACGGUACAUCUGUAGAAAUUUGUGAGUGUUUUUGGUGACGUAUCAAAUCUCCUCUAACUUCUAAUAAAAUAUAGCUGCUGUCUUGCCCUCUUUAAGGCUGCAUCGAUAUGUUGGAUUCAGGUUAGGUCCUCAGAGGUACUGACACCCGGGAACUUGAAAAUGUUCACUCUGUCCACAUAGAAACAUAGAAAACCUACAGCACAAUACAGGCCCUACAUCCCACAAAGUUGUGCAGAUUGUGUCCCAAUCUCAGAAAUUACAAGACUUACCCAUAGCCCUCUAUUUUACUAAGCUCCGUGUACCUAUCUAAAAGCCUCUUAAAAGACCCUAUCGUAUCCGCCUCCACCACCAUUUCUGGCAGCCCAUUCCACGCACUCACCUCUCUGGGUAAAAAACUUAACCCUGACAUCUCCUCUGUACCUAUUCCCCAGCACCUUAAACCUGUGUCUUCUUAUGGCAACCAUUUCAGCCCUGGGACAAAGCCUCUGACUAUCCACAUGAUCAAUGCCCCUCAUCAUCUUGUACACCUCUAUCAGGUCACCUCUCAAAUCUUCUGAUCUCUGUAUGAGGACUGGUGUGUGAUCCUUCAUCUUACCCUUUCUGAAAUCCACAACCAGUUCCUUGGUCUUACUGAUAUUGAGUGCAAGGUUAUUGCUACGGCACCACUCAACUCGCUGGUAUAUCUCACUCCUGUAUGCCCUCUUAUCACCAUCUGAGAUUCUGUCAAAUCUGGUUGUAUCAUCAAUAAUUUUAUGGGUGAUACUUGAGCUGUGGCUUACUACACAGUCAUGGGUAUAGCGAGAGUAGAGCAGUGGGCUAAGCACACAUCUCUGAGGUGUAACAAUAUUGAUUGUCAGUGAGAUGAAGUUAUUUGCAAUCCACACAGAUUGUGGUCUUCUAGUUAGCACAUUGAGGAUGCAGUUGCAAAGGGAGCUACAGAGGCCCAGGUUCUGGGGUUUUUGAUCAGAAUUGUAGGGAUAAUGGUGUUAACAGCUGAGCAGUAGUCAGUAAGUAGCAUCCUGACAUAGGCAUUUGUAUUUGACAGGUAUUUGUAUACAUAUUUGGAUUUGACAAUCCAAUGAAGUGAAUGAAAGUUCAGGACAAGUCCCAGGUUUAACCUAACUAAAGACUACCAACAAAAAAAUAUUAAAUUAUUAAUAGAUCUAUUAGUAGUAGUGAAGUAAUUACCUACAUUCAUUUAAAACUAGUACUAGUUUUAAAUAUUAUUAAACAAUGGCAAAAAAAAUUACAUGAUGUGAGAGGCCAUAAGACAUAGGAGCAGAAUUAGGCCAUUUGGCCCAAUGAGUUUGCUCUGAGAACAACUAGUUAAUUCAUUAGAGUUCAAAGUAAAUUUACAUAGCCUUCAUGUACUUUGGUCAGAAAGACUUUUUAAACCAUAUUUGAAGUAUUUUAUUCACCUUCCUAGAAAUGUUUUGCCAUUAUGGAGGUCAGAGUAGGUUACUUGCUUCAGGAGUUUGUGUCAUGCAUGUAGUUGAUAUGAGAAAGAGACUGCUGCAGGAGCAUUUCUAGGAACAAAAAGUGUAGUCAAUGUUUUGGGUCAAGACCCUAUAACAAGCCUAAGUAUGUAAAGGGGAGAUAGCCAUUAUAAAAACGGCAAGGGGGAAGAGUGAGGUAGUGUGACAUACCAAAACAAGUUGAGCAUUACCAGAGCCUUGAUGUUGAGAUUGUUGGCUUGCUGAAAUUUGUAUGUAAUUGUGCUGCAGUCAGAAGAUGGUGACGUUGAAUUGCUUGACCUACAUGGAUUUUCAAAAGAUCCAUACUAGAUUCACUGGCAGCUGUUCAGCUGUGCUUUUAGGUGCCCAUAAUUAGUUGACCACUUCUCCAAUACAUAAGAAUGGAUGGGAUGGGAAUCAUUGGUGUUCAAAAGAUUGUGCAACUAAGGCUGAAAUUGAGCUCUUCCAACAAUUUCACACUGUGGUCAAGGGCUGUGCUGGCAUAUUGGAUGUAAUGAUGUAUUUAAUUGUUCAUAUUUGUCCUCUUUGAGAAGUGGCUCCUGUGAUACAGAAAGUAACUGACCAGAACUUAAGUCUUAUCAUGGGUCCUGGAAUUUUUUUAACGAUAGUGUUGUGUGCUGACGACAAGAUUAUGAUGGAUGUUUGUCUCUCAGAUGCUUAAUGUGAGGCCUAUCACUGACAUGUUUUAUUGAAGGAUCUUGCCCUCUGCACAUAUAUGCAAGCAUUGUAUGUAUUGAAAGUUAACAACAGGUUGGAUUGACCUUCAUUGUGAAGAAGAGGCACUAUGAUUUCCUGCUCCACUUCAAAAGGAAUACACAUACAAAAUGCUUAAGCUCCUGUUCAAUGCUUUCUGGAAGAUUGUGAAUGGAAAAGGCGGGGUUAGUAUUUAAAUCCAAAUUUCGCACUAUUUGUUAGUAUUGAGAAGACUUGAGCACAAAAUUAUGAACAUUCUUCUCUGGAGGUGAAUAAACAGUUAACGUUUUGGGCCUGUGUGUGUUGUUCAAGAUGCCCAACAUCUGCAGAAUCUAUUGUGUUUAUGAGCGUUCUUCUACACUUGUUGCACAUUGAUGUGCUAUAUGGACAACCAAUUUCUAACAAUACUGGACAAUGUUAUUGGAAGCGUACUUAACUUGGCCAGUUGGCCAUAAACUUUCAAUUCAUUCGUGUUACACUAAUACAGAGGUUCCCAACCUGGGGUCCAUGGAUCCCUUGCUUAAUGGAAUUUGCACAAGGCAUAAAAAAAGGUUAGGAACCCCUGCUCUGAUAUAUUUUGCUUACCUUACAAAUCCCAAAACUUGGCUGUUAAAGGCACUGUCAUCGUGUUUUUAAAAACUUAAUUUUAGAUUUUAAAAUAUAGUCAUUUCCAGUGUGAGGAUCUCACUAAUCCUUGCUAUAUUUCACUUAAUUCUUGAGAGGUAAUGCUGCAGAUUAUAUUCUGUAACUAAUUGGUAAGAGAAGUUAGGAAUUUAUUUAUUUUGCAGAACAAUUUAUUCAGAAGAAUAUUUUAGCUUGUGCUGGCGAAAGCUCUUAAUUAACUUUCAUAUUAAUGAUGUUCCUGCUGUUCCACUCAACUGAAUUCUGUGAUUGAUAUUGUGCAUGCAUUUGUUAAAGAAUUUUUAUAUUUAGAUGCAGUAUUUUUCAUUCAGUAGAAGUGAGUGAAACAUAAAUUUGCAGUUAAAUUCUGCAUUUAUGUUAUAUUUGACAAUAAAGUAUGAAAAUAUUCCUAUUUAGAUUGAUAAGGUCAAUAAAACCAUGCAUGUGUCAUUGAACAAGGAAGCCCAACUAGACUGUAAUGAACUGGAAUAUUUUCUUCUGCACCUGAAUCUAACUUUCAUUUCUCAUCAAUUUUUUUGCAAUAUAGUUGUGAGAGGAAGAAAAUAACUAACAUUUCCAGUUUCUCAAAACUACCAUAUCUGUGCAGAUUAUUUGGAGAUAAUCUAUUUUUAAGUUCUGAAACAGACUGCUUGGCAGAAAGACGAGUGAAUUCCUCUAGUCUGUUUCCACACCAUGGUAAGUUCAGAUAAAAUGAAAUUGGAGGAACAUCAUAAACUUACGUGUCCAAGCAAUGUUUCUGCUGGAAAUGAUGGAUUAUGAAAGUACAAUAUGUUUAAACAACCUAUUUCAUGUAACCAGUUGUAUUCUGAAUGAAUCUUCUUUGUAUAAUGAUUUGUGAAAAUAUUGUGUUUCUGUUUGAUCUUUAUAAGUUUUAUAACCACAGUGGUUUGAAAGAAAUUUGAGCUUAGAAAAGUAAUUGUACAUUCCUUGGGGGCACACAAUGGUAAGGGAUUUGGAAGAUGACUGAAAAUAACUCUAUGGUGACUUAUCUCCAUAACUGACCUGUUCUGUUCACAUGAAUACUGGAUACAGGAUUCUUUAUUAGAGGCAUACAUGGGAAAUAAUUUAAGAUGCACUAUGUAUACUCACUUUCUUUUCAAAGAAGACUACCACCUGACAUCACACAAAUCUGAUAAUUCAAGUAUUAUUUAAUCGAAGUAGAAACAGAACGAAAGUAUAAAUCUGUAAGUAAUAGCUAUCAAGGUAACACAUGGAAGUUAUUUUUGAUAAUCAGUGUGUCAAUAGAAGCUGUGUUUAGUGAUCAAUAAAGCAAAUGUUAGCGAUAUGCUUACUCGUUCUGUGGCAGCAUCUUACACUCGAUGGCCACUUUAUCAGGCACACUUGCUCUUUAAUGCAAAUAUCUAAUCAGCCAAUCAAGUGGCAACAACUCAAUGCAUAAAUCAUGCAGACAUGGUCAAGAGGUUCAGCUGUUCAGACCAAACAUCAGGAUGGGGAAAAAAUAUGAUCUAAGAAAUUUUGCCUGUGGAAUGAUUGUUGGUGCUGGAUGGGGUGGUUUGUAUAUCUCAGAAACUAGUGAUCUCUUGGGAUUUUCACCUGUAAGGGUUUCGAGAGUUUAUAGAGGAUGGUGCUGUGGUGAACUACAUAUACCAGUCUGGACACGCCCCCUGCUGACUGCUCCUGUGGCUCCUCCCACAG